CCAAGACAACUUUACGGAGUUGACGAUUGACGGAGCGAAGCGACGUCAAAGCGUUCAUUAAAGUCGAGUUGGCUUAGGGAUACGUUCGUUGGGUAGGGGAGCGUUCUGUAAGCCUGUGAAGGUGUGUCGUGAGGCAUGCUGGAGGUAUCAGAAGUGCGAAUGCUGACAUAAGUAACGAUAAAGCGGGUGAAAAGCCCGCUCGCCGGAAGACCAAGGGUUCCUGUCCAACGUUAAUCGGGGCAGGGUGAGUCGACCCCUAAGGCGAGGCCGAAAGGCGUAGUCGAUGGGAAACGGGUUAAUAUUCCCGUACUUGGUGUUACUGCGAAGGGGGGACGGAGAAGGCUAUGUUGGCCGGGCGACGGUUGUCCCGGUUUAAGCGUGUAGGUGUGUGUUCCAGGUAAAUCCGGUU
rnacentral:rRNA from 2 species